UACGUAGGGGGCUAGCGUUGUCCGGAAUCAUUGGGCGUAAAGAGCGCGUAGGCGGCCAGAUAAGUCCGGUGUGAAAGUCACAGGCUCAACCUGUGAAUGCCGCUGGAAACUGUCUGGCUAGAGUCCGGAAGGGGCGAGUGGAAUUCCUGGUGUAGCGGUGAAAUGCGCAGAUAUCAGGAGGAACACCGAUGGCGAAGGCAGGUCUCUGGGCCGAUACUGACGCUGAGGAGCGAAAGCGUGGGGAGCGAACAGG
rnacentral:rRNA from 1 species